rnacentral:rRNA from 1 species
ACGGCCAUACCAUGCUGAAUAUACCGGUUCUCGUUAGAUCACCAGAGUCAAACAUCAUUGGGCGCGGUCAGUACUUGAGUGGGCGACCACCUGGGAACACCGCGCGCCGUU